rnacentral:rRNA from 2 species
UUUGGACGGAGAGUUCGAUCCUGGCUCAGGAUGAACGCUGGCGGCGCGCCUAACACAUGCAAGUCGAACGGCACCCCUCUCCGGAGGGAAGCGAGUGGCGAACGGCUGAGUAACACGUGGAGAACCUGCCCCCUCCCCCGGGAUAGCCGCCCGAAAGGACGGGUAAUACCGGAUACCCCGGGGUGCCGCAUGGCACCCCGGCUAAAGCCCCGACGGGAGGGGAUGGCUCCGCGGCCCAUCAGGUAGACGGCGGGGUGACGGCCCACCGUGCCGACAACGGGUAGCCGGGUUGAGAGACCGACCGGCCAGAUUGGGACUGAGACACGGCCCAGACUCCUACGGGAGGCAGCAGUGGGGAAUCUUGCGCAAUGGGGGGAACCCUGACGCAGCGACGCCGCGUGCGGGACGGAGGCCUUCGGGUCGUAAACCGCUUUCAGCAGGGAAGAGUCAAGACUGUACCUGCAGAAGAAGCCCCGGCUAACUACGUGCCAGCAGCCGCGGUAAUACGUAGGGGGCGAGCGUUAUCCGGAUUCAUUGGGCGUAAAGCGCGCGUAGGCGGCCCGGCAGGCCGGGGGUCGAAGCGGGGGGCUCAACCCCCCGAAGCCCCCGGAACCUCCGCGGCUUGGGUCCGGUAGGGGAGGGUGGAACACCCGGUGUAGCGGUGGAAUGCGCAGAUAUCGGGUGGAACACCGGUGGCGAAGGCGGCCCUCUGGGCCGAGACCGACGCUGAGGCGCGAAAGCUGGGGGAGCGAACAGGAUUAGAUACCCUGGUAGUCCCAGCCGUAAACGAUGGACGCUAGGUGUGGGGGGG